AUUGAACGCUCGCGGCAUGCCUAACACAUGCAAGUCGAACGAGUGGCGGACGGGUGAGUAAUGUCUGGGAACCUGCCUGGUAGCGGGGGAUAACUACUGGAAACAGUAGCUAAUACCGCAUACCAUCAGAUCUGCCCAUAGGGGACUAGCUCGUUGGUGGGGUAACGGCUCACCAAGGCGACAAUCCCUAGCUGGUCUGAGAGGAUGACCAGCCAAUUGGGAAGUGGGGCUCGGUGCAGGCGCCGACGGUAGGGCGGAGGGGGGAAAAUUGUACAAUGGGGGCAAACCUGGUGCACCCCUGCCGAGUGUAUGGAGAAAGCCGUUGGGUUUUAAAGUCCUUUCAGCGGGUAGGCGGUACCCGGAGAAAAAGCACCGGCUAACUCCGUGCCAGCAGGCGCGGUAAUUC
rnacentral:rRNA from 1 species